AGCUUCUUAAAAAUGCUACAAUUUUGGUAUGAAGAUUGUGCUAUCAUAACAUUACUUGUGAUGACUUCAGUGUUCUUUUUGGAAUAGGGGAAAUUGCUGAAGUGAUGAGAAGAAGCUGGAUGAGGCUGCCUUGUGCUCAAGUAGAGUGGUUGACCUUACUGAGGAACAUGGAGAGUAAAGAGUGCAUUCAUAAUAACAGAG